rnacentral:lncRNA from 1 species
UUUUGGUUUUUCAAGACAGGGUUUCUCUGUGUAGCCCUGGCUGUCCUGGAACUCACUUUGUAGACCAGGCUGGACUCGAACUCAGAAAUCCACCUGCCUCUGCCUCCCAAGUGCUGGGAUUAAAGGCAUGUGCCACCACCACCCGGAUUUUGAAUGUCCUUUUAAUGAGGCCACUAAUAUUGUCUUUAAAGCCAGUCACAAACAGUAAAUGCAGAAACCAGGCUUGGAAGUAGACCUCCCGUCUCAUAAAACGCAACAAUGGCGGUCUUGGUUUGAGUGUGGUAAGAAGUUCUGACUCCAGGGAUCUAACCUGCAGCCUGCUGCAACCCGUGCCAUCCAGCGCAUGGGGAGUUCUCUUUAGCCAGUGAGUGUGUGUGUGGCUUGGUGUGCAGAACCAUCCAUUGUUUCCUUCAGAGUUCCCUAAAGUCACCCUGCUGUUACUAAGCAACAGAGCUGAGAAUUUCUCAGAGCCUUGGGCUCACCUCUGACCAGGCAAGGUGAGCAGGAGCAGGAGGUGUCUGGGGUUUGCUGGCUCCUGCCAUUAUGACAAGUAACAGUUAGGUCUGAGGACCCAAAAUGACGGUGGUCUAGCGGUCCCUGAUAUGGGAGUUGGAAGAUGUCUUGGUGGCAAGCAAGGCUCUUGUGGCAGGGUCCACCUUGCCUUGUGUCUGGGAUUUACCUUCCUGCUGAAACUCUCUCUGGCUGCCACAUAUUGGUGGGUAGACUCGAGAUGUGAGUUGCCUUGGCUGCUCUGCUGUUUGUUGAAUCCUCUCUGCUUCCAACCACCCAUGUAAUAAAGCAGCUAAAGUUCUCAUCUUCAAAAGAGGUCACGAGGCCGGGAUGCAGCCCAGUUGGUAGAGUGUCAAUGUACUUUCCUAGCAGGCACAAAACCCAAGGUUCAAUCCCCAACAUCCUCUAAACUGGGUAUGGUGGCAUAAGCUUGUCAUCCAAGCCUGGGGACGUGGAGGCGGAGGGCUCAGAAGUUCAAGGUCAUCCUUGGCUACAUAGAGAGCUUGAGGCCUGCCUGGGUUAUGUUAGACCCUGCCUC